rnacentral:rRNA from 1 species
GACGAACGCUGGCGGUGUGCUUAACACAUGCAAGUCGAACGGUAAGGCCCUUUCGGGGGUACCCGAGUGGCGAACGGGUGAGUAACACGUGAGUAACCUGCCCUCAUCUCUGGGAUAACAGUCGGAAACGGUUGCUAAUACUGGAUAUGAGCUUGCAAGGCAUCUUGUGGGUUGGAAAGAUUUUUUUUGGUUGGGGAUGGACUCGCGGCCUAUCAGCUUGUUGGUGAGGUAGUGGCUCACCAAGGCUUCGACGGGUAGCCGGCCUGAGAGGGCGACCGGCCACAUUGGGACUGAGAUACGGCCCAAACUCCUACGGGAGGCAGCAGUGGGGAAUAUUGCACAAUGGACGGAAGUCUGAUGCAGCAACGCCGCGUGCGGGAUGACGGCCUUCGGGUUGUAAACCGCUUUCAAUUGUGACGAAGCUUUUUUGUGACGGUAGCAGUAGAAGAAGCACCGGCUAACUACGUG